rnacentral:rRNA from 1 species
UGCCAGACUCCUACGGGAGGCAGCAGUGAGGAAUAUUGGUCAAUGGGCGGAAGCCUGAACCAGCCAAGUCGCGUGAGGGACUAAGGCCCUGCGGGUCGUAAACCUCUUUUGCCGGGGAGCAGUGGUCCGGACGCGUCCGGACCGGGAGAGUACCCGGAGAAAAAGCAUCGGCUAACUCCGUGCCAGCAGCCGCGGUAAUACGGAGGAUGCGAGCGUUAUCCGGAUUUAUUGGGUUUAAAGGGUGCGCAGGCGGAAGAUCAAGUCAGCGGUAAAAUUGAGAGGCUCAACCUCUUCGAGCCGUUGAAACUGGUUUUCUUGAGUGAGCGAGAAGUAUGCGGAAUGCGUGGUGUAGCGGUGAAAUGCAUAGAUAUCACGCAGAACUCCGAUUGCGAAGGCAGCAUACCGGCGCUCAACUGACGCUCAUGCACGAAAGUGUGGGUAUCGAACAGGAUUAGAUACCCUAGUACAC